rnacentral:rRNA from 1 species
GGUGAGUAAUGUCUGGGAAACUGCCUGAUGGAGGGGGAUAACUACUGGAAACGGUAGCUAAUACCGCAUAACGUCGCAAGACCAAAGAGGGGGACCUUCGGGCCUCUUGCCAUCGGAUGUGCCCAGAUGGGAUUAGCUAGUAGGUGGGGUAACGGCUCACCUAGGCGACGAUCCCUAGCUGGUCUGAGAGGAUGACCAGCCACACUGGAACUGAGACACGGUCCAGACUCCUACGGGAGGCAGCAGUGGGGAAUAUUGCACAAUGGGCGCAAGCCUGAUGCAGCCAUGCCGCGUGUAUGAAGAAGGCCUUCGGGUUGUAAAGUACUUUCAGCGGGGAGGAAGGGAGUAAAGUUAAUACCUUUGCUCAUUGACGUUACCCGCAGAAGAAGCACCGGCUAACUCCGUGCCAGCAGCCGCGGUAAUACGGAGGGUGCAAGCGUUAAUCGGAAUUACUGGGCGUAAAGCGCACGCAGGCGGUUUGUUAAGUCAGAUGUGAAAUCCCCGGGCUCAACCUGGGAACUGCAUCUGAUACUGGCAAGCUUGAGUCUCGUAGAGGGGGGUAGAAUUCCAGGUGUAGCGGUGAAAUGCGUAGAGAUCUGGAGGAAUACCGGUGGCGAAGGCGGCCCCCUGGACGAAGACUGACGCUCAGGUGCGAAAGCGUG